rnacentral:rRNA from 1 species
UACGUAGGCAGCGAGCGUUGUUCGGAAUUACUGGGCGUAAAGAGUGUGUAGGCGGUGCUCUAAGUUCGGUGUGAAAUCUCCUGCUUAACUGGGAGGGUGCGCCGGAAACUGGAGUGCUUGAGCGUGGGAGAGGAAAGCGGAAUUCCUGGUGUAGCGGUGAAAUGCGUAGAUAUCAGGAGGAACACCGAUGGCGAAGGCAGAUCUCUGGGCCGUAACUGACGCUGAGGAGCGAAAGCAUGGGGGAGCGAAACAGG